rnacentral:rRNA from 1 species
CCUACGGGCGGCAGCAGUGGGGGAUAUUGCACAAUGGGGGGAACCCUGAUGCAGCGACGCCGCGUGGGUGAAGAAGCGCCUCGGCGCGUAAAGCCCUGUCAGCAGGGACGAAACUGACGGUACCUGAAGAAGAAGCCCCGGCUAACUACGUGCCAGCAGCCGCGGUAAUACGUAGGGGGCAAGCGUGAUCCGGAUUUACUGGGUGUAAAGGGGGCGCAGACGGCGAUGCAAGCCAGGAGUGAAAGCCCGGGGCUCAACCCCGGGACUGCGCUUGGAACUGCGUGGCGUGAGUGCAGGAGGGGCAGGCGGAAUUCCUGGUGUAGCGGUGAAAUGCGUAGAUAGCAGGAGGAACACCGGUGGCGAAGGCGGCCUGCUGGACUGCAACUGACGUUGAGGCCCGAAAGCGUGGGGAGCAAACAGGAUUAGAUACCCUGGUAGUC